rnacentral:rRNA from 1 species
CCUACGGGUGGCAGCAGUCGAGAAUCAUUCACAAUGGGGGAAACCCUGAUGGUGCGACGCCGCGUGGGGGAAUGAAGGUCUUCGGUUUGUAAACCCCUGUCAUGUGGGAGCAAAUUAAAAAGAUAGUACCACAAGAGGACGAGACUGCUAACUCUGUGCCAGCCGCCGCGGUAAUACAGAGGUCUCAAGCGUUCUUCGGAAUCACUGGGCGUAAAGCGUGCGUAGGCUGUGUCGUAAGUCGUGUGUGAAAGGCGCGGGCUCAACCCGCGGACGGCAGAUGAUACUGCGGGACUAGAGUAAUGGAGGGGGAGACGGAAUUCUCGGUGUAGCAGUGAAAUGCGUAGAUAGCGAGAGGAACACUCGUGGCGAAGGCGGGUUCCUGGACAUUAACUGACGCUGAGGCACGAAGGCCAGGGGAGCGAAAGGGAUUAGAUACCCGAGUAGUC